rnacentral:tRNA from 1 species
GGAGGAGUAACCCUAAUUGCUAAGGGAAGGCUCUUGAAAAGCCUCAGUAAUCGUGUAAAAGCGGUGUGUGGGUUGGAGUCCCACCUCCUCCUCA